GGACAACCUGCCCUUAGGUUGGGUAUAAACCCGGGAAACUGGGUAUAAUACCCGAUAGGUCUCGAUUGCUGGAAUGCAUCGAGAUUUAAAGCUCCGGCGCCUAAGGAUGGGUCUGCGGCCUAUCAGGUAGUAGUGGGUGUAGCGUACCUACUAGCCUACGACGGGUACGGGUUGUGAGAGCAAGAGCCCGGAGAUGGAUUCUGAGACACGAAUCCAGGCCCUACGGGGUGCAGCAGGCGCGAAAACUUUACAAUGCUGGCAACAGCGAUAAGGGAACCUCGAGUGCCAGGUUACAAAUCUGGCUGUCGAGAUGCCUAAAAAGCAUUUCAUAGCAUGGGCCGGGCAAGACCGGUGCCAGCCGCCGCGGUAACACCGGCGGCUCGAGUGGUAACCGUUAUUAUUGGGUCUAAAGGGUCUGUAGCCGGCCGGAUAAGUCUCUUGAGAAAUCUGGCAGCUUAACUGUCAGGCUUUCAGGAGAUACUGUCUGGCUCGAGGCCGGGAGAGGUGAGAGGUACUUCAGGGGUAGGGGUGAAAUCUUGUGAUCCUUGAAGGACCACCAGUGGCGAAGGCGUCUCACCAGAACGGACCUGACGGCAAGGGACGAAAGCUAGGGGCACGAACCGGAUUAGAUACCCGGGUAGUCCUAGCCGUAAACGAUACUCGCUAGGUGUCGGCCACGGUGCGACCGUUGUCGGUGCCGUAGGGAAGCCGUGAAGCGAGCCACCUGGGAAGUACGGCCGCAAGGCUGAAACU
rnacentral:rRNA from 1 species